rnacentral:tRNA from 1 species
GGGAAAGUAGCUUAGUAGUAGAGUGCUUGCCUUGCAUGCAUGAAGCCCUGGGUUCAAUUCCUCAGUACCA